rnacentral:rRNA from 1 species
CAGGUCUUGACAUCCCGAUGCUAUUCUUAGAGAUAGGAAGUUACUUCGGUACAUCGGAGACAGGUGGUGCAUGGUUGUCGUCAGCUCGUGUCGUGAGAUGUUGGGUUAAGUCCCGCAACGAGCGCAACCCUUAUUGUUAGUUGCCAUCAUUAAGUUGGGCACUCUAGCGAGACUGCCGGUAAUAAACCGGAGGAAGGUGGGGAUGACGUCAAAUCAUCAUGCCCCUUAUGACCUGGGCUACACACGUGCUACAAUGGUCGGUACAACGAGUUGCGAGCCGGUGACGGCAAGCUAAUCUCUGAAAGCCGAUCUCAGUUCGGAUUGGAGGCUGCAACUCGCCUCCAUGAAGUCGGAAUCACUAGUAAUCGCGGAUCAGCACGCCGCGGUGAAUACGUUCCCGGGCCUUGUACACACCGCCCGUCACACCACGAGAGUUUGUAACACCCGAAGUCGGUGAGGUAACCUUUUAGGGGCCAGCCGCCUAAGGUGGGAUGGAUGAUUGGGGUG